rnacentral:rRNA from 1 species
ACUUUUUACUAUAUUUUUACUAAAAUGAGUUAAUUAAUUAAUUUAGGUUUUAUUAGUAUUUUUUAGAAACUAAGAUUUUAUUUUAAACUGAGAAGGUAAGGUAAUAUGUUUAAUAAGAUUUUUAAUAGUACCUUUUGUAUCAGGGUAAAUUCAAUAAAUCAACAAUUUAAUAUUCCCGAAUAAAAAAGUUCUAUAUAAUUAAUUAUUUAUUUGUUUCAAUAAAUUUUUUAAUAUUUAUCUUGUAAUUAAAUGUUAAUCGCUUUUUGUUUAUCUGGUUAUUAAGGAAAUUAAUUUAAUUAAUCAUUAUUUUAAUCAUUUCAUUUUUAUAUUUAUAAUGAAAAGUUAUUAGGGAUAAUCUUUAUAACUAUUAAUAUAAUUUUAAUCUAUUUAAUAUUUAUUAACUUUAAAAUUUUGUAUAACAGUUUAUAUUAAAUUCAUAUUUAUUUUUAAAAUUUUAUUUAUAUUUAUUUUUGUACUUAAUUAAUUAAUUGAAUAUAAUUUUUAUUUAAAUAAUUAUUUAAUUAGUAUAAUUUGAAAUUUAAGUUUAAUGAAUUCGACAAAUAAUUUUUCCAACUGUUUAACAAAAACAUUUCUUUUUGAAAUAUUUAAAAGGUAAAUUCUGCCCUAUGGUUUUCUAAAUGGCUGCAGUAUUUUGACUGUGCAAAGGUAGCAUAGUAAUUAGUUUCUUAAUUAGAAGCUGGUAUGAAUGGAUUAAUGAGAAAGAUAUUUUAUUAAUUUCAUUUUUAUAAAUUAAAUUUUAAGUAAAAAUGCUUAAUUAAUUUCUAGGGACGAUAAGACCCUAUAGAACUUUAUAUAAUAUCAUAUAUUAAUAUAUUUUUAUAAUAAAUAUUAUAUUAAUAUUUAUUAUAAUUUGCUGGGGUGGUAGAUAAAUUUUAACUUUAUAUUUAAAUUUCAAUAAUUAAUGUAAAUAAUGAUCCUUAUGGAAUUUAAGAUUUAGUUACCUUAGGGAUAACAGCGCAAUUUAAGUGGGGAGUUCAUAUCUAUAUUUUAUUUUGCGACCUCGAUGUUGAAUUAAGGAAAGAUUAAGAAGUAGAGUUCUUGUAUCUAAGUCUGUUCGACUUUUAAAUUCUUACAUGAUUUGAGUUCAAACCGGUGUAAGCCAGGUUGGUUUCUAUCUUAGAAUAAUAUAAAUUAUUUAGUACGAAAGGACCAAUAAUUUUUACUUAGGUAAUGAUUUUUAAUAAA